GCUGCCGUCGUUUAAUUGGAUAAGACGGAAAAUGCAGGUUCGAAUCCUGCCGGCAGUA
rnacentral:tRNA from 1 species